GUGUCAGCAGCCGCGGUAAGACGUAGGAGGCGAGCGUUGUCCGGAUUCAUUGGGCGUAAAGAGCGCGCAGGCGGCUCGGUCAGUCGGAUGUGAAAACCCGGGGCUCAACCCCGGGCAUGCAUCCGAUACUGCCGAGCUAGAGGUAGGUAGGGGAGAUCGGAAUUCCUGGUGUAGCGGUGAAAUGCGCAGAUAUCAGGAGGAACACCGGUGGCGAAGGCGGAUCUCUGGGCCUUACCUGACGCUCAGGCGCGAAAGCUAGGGGAGCGAACAGGAUUAGAUACCCCGGUAGUCC
rnacentral:rRNA from 1 species